GUAGGUGGCAAGCGUUGUCCGGAAUUAUUGGGCGUAAAGCGCGCGCAGGCGGUUCUUUAAGUCUGAUGUGAAAGCCCACGGCUCAACCCGUGGGAGGGUCAUUGGAAACUGGAGAACUUGAGUACAGAAGAGGAAAGCGGAAUUCCACGUGUAGCGGUGAAAUGCGUAGAGAUGUGGAGGAACACCAGUGGCGAAGGCGGCUUUCUGGUCUGUAACUGACGCUGAGGCGCGAAAGCGUGGGGGGAGCAAACAGGAUUAGAUACCCUGGUAGUCCACGCCGUAAACCGAUGAGUGCUAAGUGUUAGGGGGGUUUUCCGCCCCCGUUAGUGCUGCAGCUAACGCAUUAAGCACUCCGCCUGGGAGUACGGCCGCAAGGCUG
rnacentral:rRNA from 1 species